rnacentral:rRNA from 1 species
CAAGCUAGAGUCUGGGAGGGGAAGAUGGAAUUAGUUGUGUAGGGGUAAAAUCNGUAGAGAUAACUAGGAAUACCAAAAGCGAAGGCGAUCUUCUGGAACAGUACUGACGCUGAGGCGCGAAAGCGUGGGGAGCAAACAGGAUUAGAUACCCUGGUAGUCCACGCCCUAAACGAUGAAUGUUAGUCGUCGGUGAGCUAGUCUCAUCGGUGAUGCAGCUAACGCAUUAAACAUUCCGCCUGGGGAGUACGGUCGCAAGAUUAAAACUCAAAGGAAUAGACGGGGACCCGCACAAGUGGUGGAGCAUGUGGUUUAAUUCGAAGAUACGCGAAGAACCUUACCUAGCCUUGACAUAUUUGAGAACACUUUAGAGAUAGAGUGGUGCCUUCGGGAGCUCAUAUACAGGUGCUGCACGGCUGUCGUCAGCUCGUGUCGUGAGAUGUUGGGUUAAGUCCCGCAACGAGCGCAACCCUCGUCACUAGUUACUAACGGUUCGGCCGAGGACUCUAGUGAGACUGCCUUUGCAAGGAGGAGGAAGGUGAGGACGACGUCAAGUCAUCAUGGCCCUUACGGCUAGGGCAACACACGUGCUACAAUGGCCAGGACAGUGAGACGCGAUACCGCGAGGUGGAGCAAAUCUAUAAACCUGGUCUCAGUUCGGAUUGUAGUCUGCAACUCGACUACAUGAAGCUGGAAUCACUAGUAAUCGUAGAUCAGCUAUGCUACGGUGAAUACGUUCCCGGGUCUUGUACUCACCGCCCGUCACACCAUGGGAGUUGAUUUCACCCGAAGCGGGGAAGCUAAACUGGCUACCCUCCACGGUGGAAUUAGCGACUGGGGUGAAGUCGUAACAAGGUAAC